rnacentral:rRNA from 1 species
AGUCGAGGGGCAGCAUGGUCUUAGCUUGCUAAGGCCGAUGGCGACCGGCGCACGGGUGAGUAACACGUAUCCAACCUGCCGUCUACUCUUGGACAGCCUUCUGAAAGGAAGAUUAAUACAAGAUGGCAUCAUGAGUCCGCAUGUUCACAUGAUUAAAGGUAUUCCGGUAGACGAUGGGGAUGCGUUCCAUUAGAUAGUAGGCGGGGUAACGGCCCACCUAGUCUUCGAUGGAUAGGGGUUCUGAGAGGAAGGUCCCCCACAUUGGAACUGAGACACGGUCCAAACUCCUACGGGAGGCAGCAGUGAGGAAUAUUGGUCAAUGGGCGAGAGCCUGAACCAGCCAAGUAGCGUGAAGGAUGACUGCCCUAUGGGUUGUAAACUUCUUUUAUAAAGGAAUAAAGUCGGGUAUGGAUACCCGUUUGCAUGUACUUUAUGAAUAAGGAUCGGCUAACUCCGUGCCAGCAGCCGCGGUAAUACGGAGGAUCCGAGCGUUAUCCGGAUUUAUUGGGUUUAAAGGGAGCGUAGAUGGAUGUUUAAGUCAGUUGUGAAAGUUUGCGGCUCAACCGUAAAAUUGCAGUUGAUACUGGAUAUCUUGAGUGCAGUUGAGGCAGGCGGAAUUCGUGGUGUAGCGGUGAAAUGCUUAGAUAUCACGA